UGCAAAAUGUUACAGCUCGCCCGCUAAAAAGGCAAGGAAAAGAAAUCCUGAGGCAGAAAUGGCUGCAACAAAAUAGGCUCUGGAUAAAGAAAGAAGUCAGACCCAGUCAACAUCAGUGCAGCGGUUGAGUGGUGGAGACAACUGGGGCAUGUGAAGGGCCUGAAAAGUGAUGCAGAGGUUGCUCUCUUUCUGUUGGACAGCCAUGAGAAUGGCUAAUGAGUCGGCCCAGUUUCCACGGGAUACGGUCGGCUGUGUUGCGGCUCCGAUCCCGUUUUCUCCGCCCCCUGGCAGUCCCCACCUGUUGUGGUUUGAGUCCGCCACGGCGCAGUAUGGUAGACAGCUGGCCUCACGAGGGGGGCUGAUGUCAACACGGAGUGUUUUAUUUUGAAAAUCAACCGGAUGUUGUUUGUUAUUCCGGCGCUUUACUUCCUGUCUGCUCCAUGCUAAAUUCAGCUGAUUUGCUGCGUUGUGCUCCAUCAUCUCCUUCUCUCUGCUGAGUCCCGCUGCCAGAUGUGCGUUCAAAUUUUUGGGGGCGGGGCUUUGGACGGAGCACUGACGGGAUGGGGAGGGGGAAUUUAGAGGAGGUGCCACUUUCAAAUCUUGCUAGCUCUCCAGCAUUGUAGACCCUAGCUUUAAUCCUUGACAGGAAAUGAAUUAAUCCUAAACAAAAAACAAACAAACAAAAAAACAAUGAGCUUAAACUCACUGUUGGCCUAAUCACAAUGUUUACUUACAAUGACUUCCGAAAGAGAGAAAGACAAGAAGACAUCUCCUGCGUUACACCUUACCAUACAUACCACUUAAUUGUCUUUUUAAAUGAUGUAAUGUCAAAUUGUAUUUGAUAAUUUAUCUAAAAUGUAUGUAUGAUGCUGUCAUAUCUUAUCAAUAACAAUGGCAAUGGCUAGCAUUUCCUACCGAUUUUAUAUAUCUCCAGUCAAAGGCCAGUUUUCUACCUGGAAAUAAUUGUUGUGACUGCGAUGCCAUACCUUUUAACUGGACGAUGAAAUUACUGUGAACAACAUAAAAAAACAAUGAUGCAGAUGUGUUCUCCAGUGUUUAGUGUUCUGCACAUGUGCUCACGCUCAUGAGAUCAUAGUAAGACUACACACUGGUGUAGAAUUACCAUGAGCCGAGCGUGUCGGGAAAAACUGUGAUGGUUAAUGAUGUCAUACACGUUACGGAGGCAGCAACACAGGAGCUGUGAAGAUGCAGCACUUGCUGUACGAACCAGUGGAGCAGAACGGUCUUAAUAGAAAAAUAAUACAAGCUAUGAGGAGCAGAGAGGGGAAGUUUUCCCCUUUGACUCUUCUCGUACUGUAUUAGAUUCUCCCAGUGCCGGCAGAUAUCAACAAAUCGUAGGCUACAGUAUUAUGUUACAAGAAUAAUUCAUUGUCUGAAUAAAAGGAGAACGUGGUGUAA